UACAGAGGGGGCAAGCGUUGUUCGGAAUUACUGGGCGUAAAGGGCGCGUAGGCGGCCUUCUAAGUCGAACGUGAAAUCCCCGGGCUCAACCCGGGAACUGCGUCCGAUACUGGAAGGCUUGAAUCCGGGAGAGGGAUGCGGAAUUCCAGGUGUAGCGGUGAAAUGCGUAGAUAUCUGGAGGAACACCGGUGGCGAAGGCAGGUCUCUGGGCUGACACUGACGCUCAUGCACGAAAGCGUGGGGAGCAAACAGG
rnacentral:rRNA from 1 species